rnacentral:lncRNA from 1 species
GAAGUAUCAUGUAAUGUUUGAUAUAUACGUACAUUAUGUAAUGUUUAAAUCAGGCUUAAACAUAUUUAUCUCCUCAAAUAUUACUCACUUCUUCAUGGUUUAUUCAAAUUUCCCCACAUUUUUUUAAAUUGAUGCCUUGUUUGUACAUACUGAUGGGAUUAAUUGUUCCAUAUUCAUACAUCCACAAUAUAACAAUAUAAUUUGGCCAUAUCACUCCUUGGCACUUUGCCCCUCUUCCCCACCUUUUACUCCUUUGUCUCUUUCUUCUGACCUCCCUUUAAGACUAGAAUUCUGACCAGAGUGUUCCACAGGAGCAAAUUAAUCAUCUAUAAUCCCAGUGGCUUGGGAGGCUGAGACAGGAGGAUCUCGAAUUCAAAGUCAGCCUCAGCAAAAGCAAGAUGCUAAGCGACUCAGUGAGACCCUGUCUCUAAAUAAAAUACCAAAUAGGGCUGGGGAUGUGACUUCGUAGCCAAGUGAUCCCGAGUUCAAUCCCCUACUCUGCCCCCGCCCCGCUAAUUCAAUCAUCUGUAGCCACAUGAUAUAGAUAAGGACUGAGUUAGACAGAGUCUAGCAAGCAUGAAACCUUGCACCCAGGCCAGGUGCUGGGGCAGAGUGAAUGACAUAGAUAAAGAGGCAGACACUAAAGACCUAGCUGUGUGUUGAAGGACAUGAGAAUGUUUGAAGAAGACAUAGGUAGCAGGUGAUGCUGGGAAGCUUUGUGAGACAAAGAAUAACUAUGAGGAAUAGGGUGGCAGUCAUCACUGGGGUCAGGUGACCCAGUGGCCCUCACUAGGCAGUCUGUCCUUUGGUGGCCAGAGAAAAGAGGCUUCAACAUGAACAGGGAAGCAUUUGGGUAUCUUGCUCUGCAUGUCCUACCUCAGUGCAUUCUUGACUGUAAUAAGAGGAGGAGGACCUGCUUGCUGAAGCUGACCCUCCUCCAAGACUACCAGCCACUAUUCACUGCCCCCACCACCACCACCCAUAGUUCCGCUUUUCUGGAACAGGCUCUUUUUAUUUAUUUGUUUAAUUCUGAGAACUCAUUUUGUUUGAGAAAAGAAAAAGGGAAGGUCAAGUUACUCAUUAAUCUCUCUCUUAUCUACUCAAGUCUCCAGUUACACCAUACUUUCUAGAGCCCUACAUAGCAACCACUACAGAGGGAAUAAACGCUUCUAAGAGCUUGAAAUUUAUAUGAGAUGCCAGCAUUCUGAUUAUCAGCAUAUAAGUUCUUGGUGGUUCAGUUUUCCUCUGUUGCUGUCAUCUAAACAAAAAUAUCCUCUAUUUCAGUGUCCCUCCUUGACCAGGUAUUAUAAAGCUGGAGAAAUCUCCAAUUACCUGUUGGCAGGAAAGGAGCCAAUCGACUUCAAGAGAAUAAGAUCAGAGGUUCAUGAACUCUGAAGUGACUUCACAGAGAAGCAAAUGUGUGUACCUGAAGACGCCUAAGCUGUCCCAGGGUCCAGCAAAACUCCACCUCUUAGUCUGCAUUCCUCUCACCCCUCACCCUCUUUCCUGUGCUGAAAGCACACAGCAUCUAGUCAGGGGACAAGACUGUAGAUAUGAAAAACUGUUUCAAUCAUUUAAAGGAAGAAGCUGCUUUCUAGGAGUUCUGGCUUAAAAGUCUGUCAUUUUCCUUUCUUAUUUUAAAAUGUUCAUGAUAUGGAAUGAGCUCAUUAUAGAGAAUUUGGAAAAUACAGAAAGAUAUGAAAAUUAAUGAGACAUGUUAAUAUUAAUGUCACACAUCACAUUAUCUGCCAACCAUUUUCUAUAUAUGUUUCUUUAUACAAACACAUAUAUUUUGAUUUAUUAAAUAGAGCCCUACAUAGCGACCACUACAGAGGGAAUAAACAUAUUCCCUCUGUAUUUUAUAGAGCAGAACCUACUUCUUUAAAUAAAUUGGAGUAAAAUACAUGAUAUAUCAAUUUUCAUCUCCUCUAGGGAAGAAAAGCAAUUUUUUUCUUCACUGGAAAGGUGCUAAAUGAUUGUGGUGGAGAACCGUCAAGACUGCUCAAAAGAAUUAUCUAGAAAAAAAAAAUGGAACUCCAGAUAUUUUCUAAGUUCUGUCUCAAAAACCCACUUUGUAACAUGUUCUGAAUAAAAGAAAAAUUUUAAAAUUAAAUAAUAAUUAUUAUAAAUGUAACUAGUUUACUAGUAUACCCUAGGUUAACUUUAAAAAGCACAACUUUUAAGAAUUUAUUAGUGAACGGGUACUAAGUUACACUCGGGAAGAGUAAACUCUGGUUUUCUAUUUCACAGCAGGGUGACUACAGAUCUAAAAAGCUAGAAGAGGGCUGCCUUGUGGCUCAGUGGUAGAGCACUUGCCUAGCACGUGCAAGGCCCUGGGUUCGAUUCUCAGCACCACAUAGAAAUAAAUAAAUAAAGGUAUUGCGUCCAACUAAAAAAAUAAAUAUUAAAAAAAAAGCUAGAAGAUUUUGAAUGUUUUCACUACAAAGAAAUGAUAAAUGUUUAAGAAGACAUAUAUGUUUACUUUGAUUUGAAUAUUAUACAGUAUGUACAUGUAUCCAAAUAUCACAUGGUACCUCAGAAAUGUGCAGUUUUUGUGUGUCAAUUGCUUUGAAAAGAACUUUAUCAAAUCGAUAAUCAUGCAUUGAGGGCUGGGGUUGUGGCUCAGCGGUAGAGCACUUGCCUAGCACAUGCAAGGCCCUGGGUUCCAUCCUCAGCACCACAUAGAAAUAAAUAAAUAAAAAAAAGGUAAUGUGUCCAACUACAACUAAAAAAUAAAUUUAAAAAAAAAAAUAAUCAUGCAUUAACAUCUUAAAAUCAGUAUCCCUAUACUUUCAGUCAUUCCACAUCUUUAUAGAUCAGAAACUUGUUAUGAUAUUAUUUGCCAUGAUAAUGAUCUCUAGAAACUAUCAGAAUAUUUGUGAAUAUUGAGUAAUAUCUUUGAAUCUAGCUUUCACUAAUUUCUGGGUAAUUCUGUGUUUUAAUCACUCCUUUAAAUUUCUAUUUUACCACAUUUACUUUGACACCAAUAUAGGGAUUAAGGGAGACACCAAUUUGAAUUUCAACUUAAAAUAUUGCAAGAUAGAAAAAAACCCCAGCAUAAGCGAAGUCCACUGACAUAGACAUAUAUAUAUCUGUGUAUGUGUAUGUAUAUGUGUGUGUGUGUAUAUAUAUAUAUAUGUGUGUGUGUAUAUAUAUAUAUAUAUAUGACUAUGUAUAUUGACUACAUACAACUUAUACCAUACACAAAGGGUAAUUGCCUUAUUAUUUAGGAAGUCCUUAAAAAUUAAAAAUGGCUACCAACUCUCCCCACUAAAAGAUGGGCAAAUAACAUAUGGCCAGGUCACCAAGGAAACAAGGGUAACUAGUCUGCAAAUUUUCGAAAUGAUACUCAAUGGUGGGUGUUUGCUCAGUUGGCUCUUUAGUUCUCUAUUAUUUCUUAGAAUUUGAAGAAGAAGAUUUCAAAGGAAGACUAGAAACUAAAUGAGAAUUAGCCUUUCUUAGAAUUACUAUUUUCCAUCACAAGAAAACAAUUCUGUUUUUUUGUUUGUUUUUCCUAAAGUGGAGUGGACCAGUGAGCCAUGGGAUUAUUAAAUAUUUGAUGACUCUGACUUUUUAAUUGCAAGAAAGCCAUGAGUUUUGUUUUUUUUUCUAUUUCAUCAAUUGCCAUGGGGAAUACUACAUAUACUACGAAAAAUGCCUCAUUGCCUAACUUGUAUUGUUAAGUAAUUCUGUUAACCUCUGGCCUUACAUUUUUCAUCUAAAACAGCGGCUGGGCCAAUUACUCUACAAAGCUAUUAAUGUCUGACAUUCUUUGUUUUGUUUACUUAAAAAAAUAGAAUAAAUAUGAGAUGUAAUGUCAUUUAAAUCUAUGACAUUUAAAUAAAAUUUUCACCAUUAAAAUGAGAAAAGAAUAAAAGAUUUAUCUUUGCAAAUCUACUUAUGGA